GUGACAAGGAGCCAAUCAGAGGUUAGCUGGUGGCGCUAGGCUUUACGACCCUGGGUGUGCUUUACGGACAAGCACACAGCAAUGACGUAGAGAGCAUAGCAACCACCCUGGGAGGGCCUAUGGGCCAUAACAACCAGUUGACCAAUCAACACAGGGCAAGCCCUCCAAGCCUGGAGGCACACCAAUCGUGAGCCUGUGCGUACCCCUAGACACUCCCCUUACGCUGCCCUAUAAGAUCUUUUGGGAGACCCAAGGAGCCGUCUUUUUCUAGCCGUCUGCCAUGGCGGGUGGGUGAAAGACCCGAGCUAACAUGGGGUUAGUUCGUUAAAUUACAAUAAAGCCUCGUGCAGUUUGCAGCAAGCUCUCGAAUCCGCCUGGUGAUUGGGGUGACCGCGAACCUGGCCUGAGACCCCGGAUACUUGAGUUUUCGGGGGUCUAACAUUUUGGGGGCUCGUCCGGGAUUUGCGACCACCCUUCACCUGAGUGGAUUCGAUCUUGGAGCACAUGGCACGGGAAAGGAGUUCUGCCAUGUGUCACGGGUUAGAAUGUGUUAUGUUGGAGUCCCCCGAGGCUGCUUUUCUGAACUCGAACCACUGCUGCAGCCCUUACAGCUGAGCCUGGCCCAUGUAGUUUAAACAUGUCUUAAACAGGUUUCUGCUUCUCUCUGACAUCUGAGUAUCAGUUGCUGACUACCGGCUGUUCUAAGUAGACUGCGAGCCCUAGAUUUGCUGUGGAUGUGAACCAGUCCAGCUGAUGUGGACACCCCCUGUCUCUGCAACAGUGUCUGCUAACCAGAAGCCCCUGAUGGAUUCCCCAUUGCCUAAAUUCCUUUUUGCUUUUGACUAGCAUUUCAACCUUCUGGGGUCCCUAACUUCGUCCCAAAGUCAGCAGGAAGCAGUUUGGAAAAGAAUUUCGGCGUCCAUUUUCCCUGGUUAAAAUGCUAAGUCAAAAGGAACUCCCUUACAUGGGGAUGCCAAUAUCUAUCACUUCCUGAUGGGGAUGCUAGAGAGACAGCAAUUCCAUGAUUGGAAUUUCCAGAAAAGAAAAUGGGGGAAUGAAGGAACCGGUUUCCCUUUUGG
rnacentral:lncRNA from 1 species